rnacentral:misc_RNA from 1 species
AUAACAAUUAAAUAUAAUUUUAUCAAAUAUUUAAUAUAAAUUAAUUAUCAUUAAUUUUCAAUUAUCAUUUAAUGGUAAUAAUUAUCUAUUAAUAGUUAUUCCGGUUAAACUAAAUACAUCCAUAGAUGUAACAGAGAGAUCUUAAAAUCCAACUUCUAAACGCCCACCCAACUCCAACCCUAACUAGGGCAGGAAAACACAGCAGAUAUAGCUCUUAAUGUUGUCGCCUCCACAAACUAUCACCGGAACGCUUGAACACUGAGGAGAGAACUGGACCAGACCAGCCCUUAUCUACCAUCUACAGUGAUAGACCAAGCGAGGAUAGGAUCCAAAAAACCAGAAGAACCAGAGAUUCAAGGGUGGACUUUAGGACAAGGAAAUGAGAAAACAGAGUACAGGAACUAGAGAGAAACAGUCCGCACCGUUAAAGCCAUGAGGGCGUUGGUAACUUUGAUCGAUAAGCGUCACACUCGCGCUAUACCCUUCUAGCCACCAAUGAUCGAAAAAAAGACCUUCAUGCCUCUAAAUUAACAACCACACACACAGGGCAAAACAAACAAAAACUUCUUUACUCAGCACCUACACCUGUAAGAAGAUCAAUAAACACACUAAGAAAGCAUAACAUAACCCAUAGCAGGCCUAAGAACCUCUCCCUUCAGCGCAUGCUACUACACCAGACAAAAUCACAAAUAUUUACAUCCCCGCCUAGCGACGGGGAGGGAAACUCAUCAAAAUCGGGUAGUGAAAGAGGCUUUCCAAGCAAAGGGAGCCGUCGAAAACGGUAAAGAAAAGGUCUUAAAAUCCUAGAUCUAAAAGAAAAAAUAAGGGGAGGAGAGUUUCUCUCUCUAAAAGACAAAGAGGUAACAAAUACUGAUGAGGGCGUGUUAUUGGCAAAUAUGGCAUGGGGGUUUUAGCUUAGUGAUGAAGUAUUUGUCUUAUAAGAAGUCAAGAGAUUCAAUAAAUUCAAUUUCUUGUAACUUAGGUCUAGACCUUGCAUAGAAAUUUUCUGAUAUGAACCAACCCCAUAAGAAUCCACUACUUUACCAAAGAAAUUCACAAAUCCAAAUAAUUUUAAAUUGGGUUUUGUUCUUUUGUGUUUGUUUGAUCCCAAAGGUUAAAUACAUGCAUUCAAAUUCUUAAUUGUAUAACCCAUAGUUGAAUAUUUGCAAUUUCAAACCAAGUUUCCCGCGCAAGAAGUAGGGAUGUAAAUAAACCAAAUCCGAGCUGAGUUUUGAAGAGUUCAUGCUUAAUUUGUUAAAUUUUUUAUUUUUUUUUUGAGUUUUAGCUCAGCUUAUGUCGAGUUUAAAUUGAAUAUCAAUAAAUUCAAAUUUAGCUCAUUUAGAAAACGAGUUUUAAAUGAGUUGAGUCAACCCGAACUUUUAUCAAAUUGAGUCUUGAGUAGCUCGUGAGUAAUUGGAGUCAUUUAUUGAGUAAGUUUUAUGUUGAGAAUUAUAAAAUUCAAACUACAUAGUUUUAAUUAGUUUUCAUAUAAAAAAUAACUUACUUUUUAUAAAAAUUAAAUUUAAAUUAUAAAUAAAUAUAUUUAAUAAAAUAUAUUUUAUAUAUCAAUUAUAUCAUAGUUUGAACAAUACAUCAUUUUUAAAAUAUUCAUAAUUAAAAUGAUAAGUAUUUAUAAUAUAAUGAAAUACAAUAAUUAAUAUAAAUACUUUUAUAAACGAGAUAAUUCAUAAGCUUAUUAAAUGAGUUUACUCACAAGUCUGUAAAUAAGUUAAUUCACGAAUUUUAACAAGCCGAAUAGCAGAUGCUGAACAAUUGAACAGUUAGGGGACCACUUGCAAAAGUUGAAGGAAUGGUUUUAUGGUUAGUAACAACAGGUUUGGCCAUUAAGGAAAAAUAAGACAAUUAAUUUUAAUGACUCAAUUUAAAUUUCAAAAUUUUUAAAUUUAAUUCAAUAACAUCAAGUGAUAUGGCCAAUUUCAAUUCUCUAUCUCUCGUUCUCUCUAUUUUCUUUCCUUUUCUCUCACUUUCUCUCAAUUUGUCAUCAAACAUACCCUCUUUCUGUAAAUAGAAAUUCUUUUUUUCAACUUCUUGAGUAUCAAAAGAGAAGUAAUGGCUGUGAUUUUAUCAAGAUGCCGAAUAUCUCUGAGCGUUAGGUGUGUGUUCUACCUAUUGAAAAAAAAAAAAAAAAAAAA